rnacentral:rRNA from 1 species
AUGAACGCUAGCGACAGGCUUAACACAUGCAAGUCGAGGGGCAGCACAGGUAGCAAUACCGGGUGGCGACCGGCGCACGGGUGAGUAACGCGUAUGCAACUUGCCUAUCAGAGGGGGAUAACCCGGCGAAAGUCGGACUAAUACCGCAUGAAGCAGGGGCCCCGCAUGGGGAUAUUUGCUAAAGAUUCAUCGCUGAUAGAUAGGCAUGCGUUCCAUUAGGCAGUUGGCGGGGUAACGGCCCACCAAACCGACGAUGGAUAGGGGUUCUGAGAGGAAGGUCCCCCACAUUGGUACUGAGACACGGACCAAACUCCUACGGGAGGCAGCAGUGAGGAAUAUUGGUCAAUGGCCGAGAGGCUGAACCAGCCAAGUCGCGUGAGGGAUGAAGGUUCUAUGGAUCGUAAACCUCUUUUAUAAGGGAAUAAAGUGCGGGACGUGUCCCGUUUUGUAUGUACCUUAUGAAUAAGGAUCGGCUAACUCCGUGCCAGCAGCCGCGGUAAUACGGAGGAUCCGAGCGUUAUCCGGAUUUAUUGGGUUUAAAGGGUGCGUAGGCGGCCUUUUAAGUCAGCGGUGAAAGUCUGUGGCUCAACCAUAGAAUUGCCGUUGAAACUGGGGGGCUUGAGUAUGUUUGAGGCAGGCGGAAUGCGUGGUGUAGCGGUGAAAUGCAUAGAUAUCACGCAGAACCCCGAUUGCGAAGGCAGCCUGCCAAGCCAUUACUGACGCUGAUGCACGAAAGCGUGGGGAUCAAACAGGAUUAGAUACCCUGGUAGUCCACGCAGUAAACGAUGAUCACUAGCUGUUUGCGAUACACUGUAAGCGGCACAGCGAAAGCGUUAAGUGAUCCACCUGGGGAGUACGCCGGCAACGGUGAAACUCAAAGGAAUUGACGGGGGCCCGCACAAGCGGAGGAACAUGUGGUUUAAUUCGAUGAUACGCGAGGAACCUUACCCGGGUUUGAACGCAUUCGGACCGAGGUGGAAACACCUUUUCUAGCAAUAGCCGUUUGCGAGGUGCUGCAUGGUUGUCGUCAGCUCGUGCCGUGAGGUGUCGGCUUAAGUGCCAUAACGAGCGCAACCCUUGCCACUAGUUACUAACAGGUAAAGCUGAGGACUCUGGUGGGACUGCCAGCGUAAGCUGCGAGGAAGGCGGGGAUGACGUCAAAUCAGCACGGCCCUUACAUCCGGGGCGACACACGUGUUACAAUGGCGUGGACAAAGGGAAGCCACCUGGCGACAGGGAGCGAAUCCCCAAACCACGUCUCAGUUCGGAUCGGAGUCUGCAACCCGACUCCGUGAAGCUGGAUUCGCUAGUAAUCGCGCAUCAGCCAUGGCGCGGUGAAUACGUUCCCGGGCCUUGUACACACCGCCCGUCACACCAUGGGAGUCAGUAACGCCCGAAGUCAGUGACCCAACCGUAAGGAGGGAGCUGCCGAAGGCGGGACCGAUAACUGGGGUG